rnacentral:rRNA from 1 species
AGGCAGCAGUGGGGAAUAUUGCACAAUGGGGGAAACCCUGAUGCAGCGACGCCGCGUGAAGGAAGAAGUAUCUCGGUAUGUAAACUUCUAUCAGCAGGGAAGAAAAUGACGGUACCUGACUAAGAAGCCCCGGCUAACUACGUGCC